rnacentral:misc_RNA from 1 species
AGAUAAAGGAAAUUUCUGGGAGAAUUUAAUGGACAACAGUUGUGGCUUUAUGGAUCUGGUGCAUACUAGGUCUGUCUUGGCUACAUACAAGUGUUUGUGGAGAGCCCUAUCUACUAGUAGUCCUUUUGGGUAGCUUACAAAUCUGCUAGCACAUUUGAUUUUAGGUCUCUUUGAAUUGUUGUGUUACUGUUACUUGAAAUUAAUGUCACUGGAGAAGAAGAUGGAACAAUUGUUCUUGAAUAAGCUUAAUUGCAGCUGCAUAGUGGAAAGAGAGUACUAGUAGCACUGUUCAUGUAGGUCAUAUAUAUCAAAAGGAAAU